rnacentral:rRNA from 1 species
UACGAAGGGGGCUAGGGUUGCUCGGAAUUACUGGGCGUAAAGGGCGCGUAGGCGGAUGUUUAAGUCGGGGGUGAAAGCCCGGGGCUCAACCUCGGAAUUGCCUUCGAUACUGGACAUCUUGAGUACGGGAGAGGUGAGUGGAACUCCGAGUGUAGAGGUGAAAUUCGUAGAUAUUGGGAAGAACCCCGGUGGCGAAGGCGGCGCUCUGGACCGAGACUGACGCUGAGGCGCGAAAGCGUGGGGAGCAAACAGG